rnacentral:rRNA from 1 species
AGUAACGCGUGAGGAACCUGCCUCAAAGAGGGGGACAACAGUUGGAAACGACUGCUAAUACCGCAUAAGCCCACGGUGCCGCAUGGCACAGAGGGAAAAGGAGCAAUCCGCUUUGAGAUGGCCUCGCGUCCGAUUAGCUAGUUGGUGAGGUAACGGCCCACCAUGGCGACGAUCGGUAGCCGGACUGAGAGGUUGAUCGGCCACAUUGGGACUGAGACACGGCCCAG